rnacentral:lncRNA from 1 species
AUUUUGUCUUGUCUUGGUUUUUUUGAGACAGGAUUUCUCAGUGACAUCCUGGCUGUCCUGGAACUUGCUCUGUAGACCAGGCUGGCGUCCAACUCAGAGAUCUGGGAUUAAUGGUGUCUACCACCACUGGCUCCCUGCGAAGUUUGACUACCAGCUUCCAGAGAGGAUGGCUCCCAGUGUCCUGAAAGGGAACCUUCCCGGGGUAAUUACCUUCUGUUUGCUUGCGGAUCCCUGCAGGAGCAGCCUGUCAGAUGGAAAAAAGCCGGCUGAGCCAUGCUGGAAGGCAGAGGAUGUGUGCGUCUGGGAUAUUGAGUUGUUGGUGAAUCCAUCUUUACCAUGAUGGUUGUGUGGCCACAAACACACCCUGCCCCACCAUGCAACCUCCAUCCCUUCCGCCACUGCCAUGACCUCCACUGUUACCACCAUCACCACAAUCUCUGCCUGAAUCACUACCUCAUCUAUUACCAUCCCUACCACCACAACCUCCACCAUCACUUUUUGCUCUUG